GCCAUAUCUUCGAGACAGUGUUAACGACGAUGAACUUCCUCCAUUGCAAGACAUUCAACUUCGUUUGGGAUAUCUUUGGAAUAAAUGAAUGCAAAUUUCGAAGUAAGGUAAGAAAGAUAAUUCUCGUGCGAUGGAGAAAUAGUUACAGAAUCUGGAACGAUCCUCGAGCAAAACGCGAUUUGGUAGCAGAAUUUCGUCGGUAUGCAGCACGACAACGAUAAACGUUCGAUGCGUGUGCUAUAAGCGUGGUGCACACUUCUCUCAAGGAUGCAGGACACAAAGGAUAUGGAUUCAAUAAGAGAAUGACAAUGUACUUAUUAGGAGUUGUAAUGCAUAUUCGAUAGAAACGAUAACACAAUGAACAAACAAAUUAUUUAAUUUUCAAUUGUCCUGAUUUUUUCUCCCGGUUUCCAGGUUCGUUACAUCUUCAAAUGUAGAAAAAUGCAAAAGAAAAAGAAAAUAUCAAUAGAAAGCAGGUCGUUGCAUAGAGGUCGCUACAAGUUCAUCGAAUUAUCUCGAGGUGAAUGAACUAUUACGGUUCCCCGAGAUGGACCAAUAAUUGAUGUCUUUUUUAUCCAAUUAACUAGAGACUUAACUGGACACAAACAUUAUACUAGGUCAAAUAUUAUGAUGGCAGAUACUGUACUUCUCUGGACAAAAAUAAAAUUCUAACGAUUGUGGGACAAGCGAAGAUAAGUAUAGUUUAUGAUUUCACAUUGCGAUAAUUAUUAUUAUUAUUAAAAAAAAAUGAUCAAUUUAAGUAUUUCUAAACAAAUUAUAUUUAGCAUUAAUAGAAA